rnacentral:tRNA from 2 species
GCCCCGUUAGCUCAGUCGGUCAGAGCAGUCGACUCAUAAUCGAUCGGUCGCCGGUUCAAGUCCGGCACGGGGCACCA